rnacentral:rRNA from 1 species
AAAGACCUUAUGCUUUUGGAGCGGCCGAUGUCUGAUUAGCUAGUUGGUAAGGUAAAGGCUUACCAAGGCGACGAUCAGUAGUUGGUCUGAGAGGACGACCAGCCACACUGGGACUGAGACACGGCCCAGACUCCUACGGGAGGCAGCAGUGGGGAAUUUUGGACAAUGGGCGAAAGCCUGAUCCAGCAAUGCCGCGUGAGUGAAGAAGGCCUUCGGGUUGUAAAGCUCUUUCAGUCGAGAAGAAAAGAUUGUGACUAAUAAUCAUGAUUUAUGACGGUAUCGGCAGAAGAAGCACCGGCUAACUACGUGCCAGCAGCCGCGGUAAUACGUAGGGUGCGAGCGUUAAUCGGAAUUACUGGGCGUAAAGGGUGCGCAGGCGGCUCUGCAAGUCAGAUGUGAAAUCCCCGGGCUUAACCUGGGAACU